rnacentral:rRNA from 1 species
UACGGAGGGUGCAAGCGUUGCUCGGAAUUAUUGGGCGUAAAGGGUAGGUAGGUGGUCUUAUUUGUCUGGGGUGAAAGCCUUGAGCUUAACUCAAGAAGUGCCUCAGAAACGGUGAGACUAGAGUCCUGGAGAGGGUCGUGGAAUUCCCGGUGUAGCGGUGAAAUGCGUAGAGAUCGGGAGGAACACCAGAGGCGAAGGCGGCAUCCUGGACUGGUCCUGACACUCAGGAGCGAAAGCGUGGGGAGCGAUCCGG